UACGGGNGGCAGCAGUGGGGAAUAUUGGGCAAUGGGGGAAACCCUGACCCAGCAACGCCGCGUGAGGGAAGAAGGUUUUCGGAUCGUAAACCUCUGUCCUUGGUGAAGAGGAAGAGACGGUAGCCAAGGAGGAAGCCCCGGCUAACUACGUGCCAGCAGCCGCGGUAAU
rnacentral:rRNA from 1 species